GGGAAUGUGGCUCAGUGGUAGAGUGCUUGCCUAUUAUCCAGGAAGCCCUGGGUUCGAUUCCUUAGCACCA
rnacentral:tRNA from 1 species